UAAGAUUUUUUGACAGUAGAAUAUGAAUCUCGAAGAAGUCCAGUAGUGAUAUGGUGUGGUUUUGUGCAUGCCGAUAGAGAUGGGUCUGACUGGAAGUGCACGGCAUAUAGUUCUUUUUUCUUCAUGCUCAUUGAUGUCUUGUAGAUUAUCAUUGGUUGAGAUUGAAUUGUGGGGUCUAAGAUAAGAUAAGGCUUCUCCCUAUCUUUCGAUAUACCUUUAUAAUAACUAUUCUUCAGUUUUGAGUAAUUAUCUUCUUCAGAUGUUUUGAAUUACACUUUGUAUACCUCAACAUUUUUCAUUCCGAACAGAUUGGCCAGAGUGAUAUGAGCUUUAGGAUAGAAGUUAUCACAAAGAAGUUUGGUCAGGGCAGUCUUGGAUGAUCCUUGGAUAGUUAUAUGACUAGUUUUGAUAGUAAUUGUGUUUUCGUUUACACGUUGAAAGUAUGUUUUGUAAAGCACUUAAACGUGUUUCGUUGAUUUUAAAUUAUUUGCUUCUAUUAAAUGAUUUCUAUUUUUGAAUAUUGUAUAGUUGUUUGGGAUCCUUUAACUAUGAUAAGUGUCAGCUUGAGCAGUGUCAAGCAGAAAAUCCUCAAGUUUUAUGCAUUAGUAUUGAAAAAUAAAUUGUCACCCACAUGAUUACUCUUUUGUUCU